rnacentral:rRNA from 1 species
AGAGUUUGAUCCUGGCUCAGAACGAACGCUGGCGGCAGGCCUAACACAUGCAAGUCGAACGCCCUAGCAAUAGGGAGUGGCAGACGGGUGAGUAACACGUGGGAACCUUCCCUAUAGUACGGAAUAUACCAGGGAAACUUGGAGCAAUACCGUAUACGCCCGAGAGGGGAAAGAUUUAUCGCUAUAGGAUGGGCCCGCGUAGGAUUAGCUAGUUGGUGAGGUAAUGGCUCACCAAGGCGACGAUCCUUAGCUGGUUUGAGAGAACGACCAGCCACACUGGGACUGAGACACGGCCCAGACUCCUACGGGAGGCAGCAGUGGGGAAUAUUGGACAAUGGGCGCAAGCCUGAUCCAGCCAUGCCGCGUGAGUGAUGAAGGCCUUAGGGUUGUAAAGCUCUUUUGCCGGGGACGAUAAUGACGGUACCCGAGAAUAA